UCUGGACGAUCGAACAGAAGACAAGGGUUGAAACCCUAGCAUCAAGAAAUCAAGCAAUUUAGCUUGAAUCAAAGGAAAAAUUCGAUGCAUGAUUCCCUAAACUCGAGUAGCUAACCUCAAUUUCCGAAGUGGAGUGAAAGAAGAAGGUUCGAACGCUAGGAAAUCGGAAGGAUCACAAGACCAAGGUAAUUCCUCAAUUUAGGCGACUUGGAGAAUUGGAGCGAGCACAUGUUCAUGAUAUGUCAUACCAAACGCUUCCGCUAGUUGCACUAAUGUUUUGGGUCAAAAUUUCUAUUUUGUACAACUUGUUAGUAGACAUAUAUUUUAACGCUUGAUGCCUAGGUUUUUAGUAGUGCCUUGUCGAACAAUUUGUAGAAUGGUAUUUGUCUUUCUUAUGUUUAAAACAGGGGUAUAUCCGUUUUACGGACGGGUCAUGCCCAAAUUUUGUUAAAAUCAUGUGUUAAUGUU